GUGGGGAAUUUUGGACAAUGGGCGCAAGCCUGAUCCAGCAAUGCCGCGUGCAGGAAGAAGGCCUUCGGGUUGUAAACUGCUUUUGUACGGAACGAAACGGUCCGGGUUAAUACCCUGGGCUAAUGACGGUACCGUAAGAAUAAGCACCGGCUAACUACGUGCCAGCAGCCGCGGUAAUACGUAGGGUGCAAGCGUUAAUCGGAAUUACUGGGCGUAAAGCGGGCGCAGGCGGAUUUGUAAGACAGGCGUGAAAUCCCCGGGCUCAACCUGGGAAUUGCGCUUGUGACUGCAAGGCUGGAGUGCGGCAGAGGGGGAUGGAAUUCCGCGUGUAGCAGUGAAAUGCGUAGAUAUGCGGAGGAACACCGAUGGCGAAGGCAAUCCCCUGGGCCUGCACUGACGCUCAUGCACGAAAGCGUGGGGAGCAAACAGGAUUAGAUACCCGGGUAGUCC
rnacentral:rRNA from 1 species